AUGCGCCUAGAUCAAACAAUCAUGGCCGAUGCCGCUCUCGCCGAUCACCCACCAUGCCGCGUCGUGGCACUGCCGUACCCCGGCCGUGGCCACGUCAACGCGAUGCUGAGCCUGUGCCGCCUGCUCGCCGCACGCGGCGUCGCCACCACGGUCAUCCUCACCGAGGAGUGGGUUGGUCUGGUUGGCGCAGCAGAGCCGCUCCUACCGGCGUGCGUCCGCUUGACCGCCAUCCCCAACGUCAUCCCCUCGGAGCAUGGCCGCGCAGCCGACUACCCUGGCUUCUCGGACGCCGUUAACACCAGGAUGGAGGCCCCCGUGCAGCGGCUCCUCGAGGAGAUGCUGCAGCUGCAAUCACCGGAUAUGGCGGUAGUCGUGGUCGUGGCCGACUUCUUGUUGCAGUGGGCGGUGCCCAUGGCGUUGAAAAGGGCCGUGAAGGCGUGCACGUUCUGCCCCUUCUCCGCCACCAACUUCGCGGCCCUGUACCACUUCGAGCGCCUCAUGGCGGGCAGCAGCUUGGGCGUCGAGGAUCCGAUGUGGGAUCAGUUCAUCCCUGGUCAGACUUGCUUAACGAUGCGCGAGUUUCAGCCGAUCUUGUCCGGCGAGGCCAGUCGAGUGCGAUUCAAGGCGAGAAUUCGCAGUGCCCGGGCAGGUCAGUGCGUGCUCUUCUCCUCGUUUUACGAGCUCGAAGCCGGCGUCAUGGACUCGCUCAGCUCAGAGCCUUCGUCGCCCCGCGUGUACUCGAUUGGCCCCUGCAUCCCUUACACCACACUCGGAGAAGAACCGCGAGACGAGUACUACUGGGCUUGGCUAGACACUCAGCCUGCAGGCUCCGUGCUGUACGUGUCGCUGGGCAGCUUCCUCUCGCUGCCACCCUCCCAGCUCGCCGAGCUCGCCAUGGGGCUCGCCGCGAGCGGCGUCAAGUUCAUGUGGGCGCUCCACGACCAAGCGCGCUCGCAGGUGCGGCCGCUGCUGGGCGGCAACGGCAACGGGGUGCUCGUGCCGUGGUGCGACCAGCUCAAGGUGCUGUGCCAUCCUUCCGUGGGGGGUUUCCUGACGCACUGUGGCAUGAACUCCGUGCUGGAGGCGGUGUUUGCCGGCGUUCCGAUGCUCACUCUUCCCAUAGGCAUGGACCAGCCGACCAACAGCCGCCUGGUCGUCGACGUGUGGAAGAUUGGGUACAGUCUUAAAGAGAAGAUGCAACCUGACGGCAUCAUCACGAGGGAGGCGAUUGCGCGGGCCGUCGAGACGCUGAUGAGCUCCUCUGAUCUGCCACAGAGCAAUGGGGUGAGGAGCAGAGCGCUUCUGUGGAGGGACGCUUCUCGCAGUGCCAUCCAAGAGGGUGGAUCUUCGUCCACAGACCUGAACUCUUUCUUAAGAUGUAUGAUUUCUUAA
rnacentral:rRNA from 1 species